ACGCAACUUGCAAUCUGUUCUGCAGAGUAUGCCUGUUUGAGAAUCUAACUGUUAUUCAACUGUGAGUUGAGAGAUGGGCAAAGCAUGGACUUGCAUGAAAAGCAGUUGGGUGUGUAUUAGGGAACCACGCCUAGACCACAGAAAGAUGAAGGGUUCGCCCACUUCCUCUGAGAGGAAAGCGUCCUGAUGCUGGGCCUAAACUGUGAACCUUGGUCUCAAAUCAGGUAGGAAGACCCGCUGAACAU
rnacentral:misc_RNA from 1 species